GGAUAACCUACCCUUAGGACCGGGAUAACCCUGGGAAACUGGGGAUAAUACUAGAUAGGCAAUUUUUCCUGGAAUGGUUUUUUGUUUAAAUGUUUUUUCGCCUAAGGAUGGGUCUGCGGCCGAUUAGGUAGUUGGUUAGGUAACGGCUUACCAAGCCAUUGAUCGGUACGGGUUGUGAGAGCAAGAGCCCGGAGAUGGAACCUGAGACAAGGUUCCAGGCCCUACGGGGUGCAGCAGGCGCGAAACCUCCGCAAUGUGAGAAAUCGCGACGGGGGGAUCCCAAGUGCCAUUCUUAACGGGAUGGCUUUUCAUUAGUGUAAAGAGCUUUUGGAAUAAGGGCUGGGCAAGACCGGUGCCAGCCGCCGCGGUAACACCGGCAGCUCUAGUGGUAGCAGUUUUUAUUGGGCCUAAAGCGUCCGUAGCCGGUUUAAUAAGUCUCUGGUGAAAUCCUGUAGCUUAACUGUGGGAAUUGCUGGAGAUACUAUUAGACUUGAGACCGGGAGAGGUUAGAGGUACUCCCAGGGUAGAGGUGAAAUUCUGUAAUCCUGGGAGGACCGCCUGUUGCGAAGGCGUCUAACUGGAACGGUUCUGACGGUGAGGGACGAAAGUUAGGGGCGCGAACCGGAUUAGAUACCCGGGUAGUCCUAACUGUAAACGA
rnacentral:rRNA from 1 species